GGUGAGAUGUCCGAGUGGUUGAAGGAGCACGCCUGGAAAGCGUGUAUAUGCGAAAGUGUAUCGGGGGUUCGAAUCCCCUCUCACCGCCA
rnacentral:tRNA from 1 species